rnacentral:lncRNA from 1 species
UCCGGUCUUCCAGCCCCAUGCUUGGGACAACCCUCCAUUCCUACCUGCUCACAGGUAUGACUCUUUUAGAAGAAGACUACAGCCCAAGAAACAGAAGCCACAGUUGCUUGCGAGCCUUGGGUGCGCACUGGAGGACGCCUUGGGAGCACGCACUGGAGGACGCCCUGGGAGCACGCACUGGAGGACGCCCUGGGGGGCAUGCACUGGAGGACGCCUUGGGAGACCUGGAAACAUGCCGUGUUCACGCUUGACCCGCUUGGUCCAGGAUGAGCCUUUGCAUUGGAACUGGGUGGUGUUUGUCUGCCUGAAGCAUCUAUGUAGAGAUCUCAGGGGCUGGACCUUGAUCCAUGCCGUUCAAGAGUUUACGGGAAGUUCAGACUCUUGGCUCCAUCUGGACCUGCUGAACCCACAUCUUUGGGGCUGAGGCUCAGGGGUGUGCACUUUGAGGAAGCGCCACAGAGAAAUGCCUACGAACACAACAACGUAUAGCUAACGCGUCACUGCAUGGGACAGAAAGGGAAAGGGUUUAUUGGAGGCAGGAUCUCAUUUGUAAGCCUACAAGAGAGUUUCUCAACGCACGACGCUAGAGACACAGCACCCAUGACUGAGAACGUAAGAGAGAGGCCCGUUCUCAACUCUACCACCACACACACAUCAAAUCCUGGGAGGAGCCUAGUUACCUCUGUUAGAUAUGCAGGUCCAAACCAAUCCUGACAUACACUGGACUUCAACUGGUCCUGACUAUCUAUCUACCUGUCUGACUUGAGACUAUCACAUGACUCAGGGGUCCAAGGCAUGGGGGAAUCUGCUUACUGUUGUGCCAGGGAAAUGUUAGUGAUCCCCGAAAACAUACACAGGAGCCAAUCUGAUGCAACUCACAGCAGGGUCUUUAUUCUAUUAGAGCUAGUUCCGCCCCCCAAACCCACCACCAUCACACAGGACGGUUUUGGUGGUGCAGGAGCCCCGAAUGUCUAUCAGGGCAAGGCUUUAUAGUAAGCAGAAGCAGGGAAUACAUGUGCAAGCAUCUAAUUGGAAAGCUCCUGUGGCCUUUAACGUAAUUGGCCGGUGCUGGGAGUCACAUCAUAAACUUAACUUCUGCUCCCUUCUGCAUUGGUGGUCGUUAGGCAAGGGGUGGGCUUGUAACCUGGGGUACAGGUUUGUUGGGGGAAUACCAGCCUGUUAGUCUACCUAAGUUCAGACUUGGGUCAGGUUCUCUAAAAUGGAGUCUGAAUUUAAAAGCUUUGGCAUCUCGUUACCACGGAGCCACAGCCCGCAGCGGGAAUCUGUAAGGGCAGGAUGGUUAUGGAGUUAUUGCACAUAAGUUAGUGAUGACUUUGAGGCUGCUUGGUGUGGACUGUUCUGCAGGUUGUUCCCUGAGCACACACAUAUGCGUUAGAAGGAGGAGCUGGGCAGUAAGUUCUGGAGGUGAGAUUGGAUGGGGCUGGGCUGUUGGAAAGUCUUGUGUGUGCGUAUAUGUAUAUGUAUUUGUUAUGCGUAAAACAGAAUUCAAAGUCUAUCCAGGACAGGUAAAUGAUGCUGUCAAAGGCAAGGGGGUGGAGAUAUGUGUCAGCCGGUAACGAUGUAGAGCUACCACAUGGCAUCAACAGGAUAGUGUGAGGAAUGAAAGAGACAAACAACAGCAAGAACAGUGUCUGCCCUGAGAAAUUUUUUUUAAAG